rnacentral:rRNA from 1 species
UACAGAGGUCUCAAGCGUUGUUCGGAUUCAUUGGGCGUAAAGGGUGCGUAGGUGGCGCCGUAAGUCGGGUGUGAAAUUUCGGAGCUUAACUCCGAAACUGCAUUCGAUACUGCGGUGCUUGAGGACUGGAGAGGAGACUGGAAUUCAUGGUGUAGCAGUGAAAUGCGUAGAGAUCAUGAGGAAGACCAGUGGCGAAGGCGGGUCUCUGGACAGUUACUGACACUGAGGCACGAAGGCCAGGGGAGCAAACAGG